GCUCUAGUAGCUUAAACAUAAAGCGCCGGUCUU
rnacentral:tRNA from 2 species